GGGCCAGUGGCGUAAUAGAUAACGCAUCUGACUUUGGAUCAGAAGAAUGUAGGUUCGAGUCCUACCUGGCUCG